ACAACACCACAGCGCAGCACACAAACGAGGUCCUUCUUCCGCAUCCGCUCCCUUUCAUUGCACGCACACGUUGUUGGUUGUUUUGUGCUGUCUCUCCUCUCUCUCGUCUUUCUCCUUGUUUGUUUCCCGAGUCUGCGUCUUUUCCGAGCUCACCACGGCAUACACGGCGCUACGGUGAUCCAUUUGGUUUGGGUCUAUUUUGUGUGUGUGUGUGUCCCUGCCUUCCCUUCCUUCCUCUACCCCGCUGUCGCCUCACGCCAUCGCGAGCACGGCUCAUACACGCAUUCGUCAUCUGUGCGCGCCUCGGAGCUGCGACACAGACACGAAGGAAGAGGAAAGGCGGAAGAGGAGGAGCGGGGUUGGGGGGUGGGUAGGUGGGUGGGUGGGGGGCAUUUACAACACGGUGAGCGUCAGCGCAUCCUCUCUUGUUUGCUUGUUUUUCCUGUGUGUUUUUGUGGACCCCUCACAGCGGAGGAUUCACUACGGCUUGGUUUUCUUUCUAUCCUUCCCUUCUUCGCAGUUGCCCGCCAUUCUGUCGGCGAGAACAACGAGUCGGCCAAAAUCUAAAACAACAUGAAGCACCACAUGUUUGUGUCUCUCUCUCACUCUUGCUCUUGUACUACACAGCCACAAGCAUUUCCGUGAAUACGAAACGGACGUACUGGUAGGCCAAAACGUCCGUUCUUCCCACCCACCGACCCCCUCCUUACCAUCGUACACUACUAGGGUGCUGAACCAGUCAAGGCACAAACCACGCACACACAGAUAUAUAUAUAUAGAAACGUAAAGAGGUUAGCACCCUUCCUUUUUUGUGUGUUGGUUCGUUGUUCGCUAUCGGAUCACUCGCUCGCACUGUCUCUUGCUUAUCGCGUCGCCUCUUUUUUCCUGCCCUGGCGUUACCGACAUUCAAGUGCCACCCGGAAAACUGUGACCGCCUCGCUGCCUCUCUCGAAAGCUCGACAUCUCCAUACAGCGCUAGCACGCUAAUCCAACCGGAAAAGUCACACGCGCACGCCUAACAUGCCUGGCAACCGUGUGCCACUGUCCCACACGCUUGGCAAGGAUGAGGUGGAGCUGAAAGGACAUUGUCGCAGCGAUUGCCAUGAAGCGCCUGCGGCAGCACUGGGGGAUAUGGACCCCAAAUGGGUGGACGUGGACGAUGAAUUCUCCUGCGGUGGCGGCCGGAAGCUCCUUUACGAGUGCCCAGAUCUUCCUAUGCAAAACGGCGUUGACCGAGAUACCGAGGGCCAGCCACUCCCAAGCUCUCAGGCACCGGACGAGGUGAGGGGUGCGAAAAGACGGGCGCGGCGAAACAUCUUCUCUCGUAUCUUCAACGCCAUCAUCCCGCACGGUGGCCUGCUCUCUGGCGCAGUCAACCUGGCGUGUGUGACGCUUGGUGCCGGUAUUAUGUCGAUCCCGUCCGCCUUCAACACAUCGGGGAUAAUCAUGGCGGUGUUUUACCUCGUGAUCAUAACCAGUCUUACCGUGUUCUCCAUCACGUUGUUGUCUAACGCCAUGGAGAAGACCGGCAUCUACAGCUUCGAGGGACUUGCCCGCGCUCUCUUCGGUCGUGGUGGUGACAUCGUUGCGGCCGUGCUCAUGUGGAUACUCUGCUUCGGUGCUUCGGUGGGCUUCGUCAUCGCCAUUGGCGACAUCCUCAAGCCGAUCUUCGCGCACCCUAAGGUGCCACCAUUCCUGCAGGAGAAGAGCGGCCGUCGCUGCAUCAUGAGCGGCGUCUGGUUGCUAUUUAUGCUGCCGCUGGUGCUGCCCAAGAAGAUCAACUCCCUCCGCUACAUGUCCGCCGUCGGUGUCUUCUUCAUUGUGUUUUUUGUCAUCUGCGCCAUCUAUCACUCCAUCGUGUACGGGUUGAAGGACGGCAUCCGCAAGGACCUCGUUAUGGUGCGUCCCGGCAAUGAAGCCGUCUCGGGGUUGUCCAUCUUCUGCUUCAGCUACCUGUGCCAGGUGAACGUUGGCCGUAUUAUCGUCGAGAACACCGAGAGAACAACUCGCAUGAUCACACUUCAGGCCAUCCUGAGCUGCAGUAUCUGUGCAACGCUCUACUUCCUCACUGGCUUCUUCGGCUACGCAGAUUUCGGGCCUUCUCUGAAGGGCAACAUCCUGGAAAGGUACAGCCCCUACCAAAGCCCCAUCUUCUUCGUUGUCUUUCCCGGCAUCAUCGUAAAGCUGUGCGCCUCAUUCUCGCUGGACAUGCUCGCCUGCCGCACGGCGCUGUUCCAGGUGAUGCACUGGGACGUGGAGACGAUGCCGUACUGGAAGCACACCCUGGUGAGUGUGCCGAUGGCCAUCGGCGCUCUCAUCCUCGGCUUGUUCGUACCCGAUAUCAACAUCGUCUUUGGACUUGCCGGCGCUCUCUCUGGCGGCUUCAUUGGGUUUGUAUUCCCGGCGUUGUUUGUCAUGUACGCUGGCAGCUGGAACCUCAAGAAGGUGGGUAUCUGGUACUACCUCGCCACUUACUUCCUGCUUAUCUGCGGUGUUGUUUCCAUUGUCUUUGGCACCGUUUCCACCGUGUACUUUAGCUUCUUCGUGUAGGCCCUCGGCCAGUGCGUAGACCGUGCACGGGGGUGCUGUGCAUGAGCCGGGCAGCAGAGCAGAUCGCACUGUCGCCGUAUUGUUUCACUCAGAAGUGCAGUUUUGCUUGAGCACUGUACGUUCCUGUGCGUCUGUCUGUGUCUGUUUCUCCCCUCCCUCCGCCUCCGCCUCGCGUUGCUUGCGCAUCGAGCGUUGUGCGGACACGGGGCUGCCUCUUUCUCUCUCUCCCUCCCUGUGCCGCUGCUGCCACUCGCAGAAACGAAGUUUUCUUUUUCGUUGACCAAAGGAUCGGCAGCUGUUAGUGGAUGGAGGGACUGUUCACCUCUGCUGUGUUGUCUGUCCGCGACUUCCUCCAGCCUCUUCUGCCAGGACGUCUUUGCCUGUCUCUUCCACGGGCCGCGCAACUUUCUGGCCGUCGCCGAUGCUGCCCCUUCUGACGAGCCCGUUCUCCUGGUAGCACCGGCCCUAUUUACGCCCUCACGCACUCCUUUUUGCCGUCUUCCCUUGCGCGUCCGUCGCCGUGCCGAGUGAGAGGCACGGAAGAUGGGAAGGGUGCGCGUGUAGGCGACCGGUGCAGAUGUGACUUCUCGCAUGGAAGACGAAUGCGAACGUUCGUCUUCGCUGCCUGCGCACGGGAGCAGUGGGGACGGCAAUGCAAGGCGAUGAAGAGGACUGUGUGGCGCGCAUCUUUUUAUUCGGCGUGUGGGUGGGUUGAGCCAACGGUGAGACAUGUUCCGCUCUUCUGCGUUGCCUUCGCUUUUUCUUCUGAUACGCUGGCGCAUAUGCUCGCUGCUUUCUCCUCCCUCUUCUUGAGUCGCUCGUCUUCUUUUCAUUGGGUGUGUACGUCCCUGUUUUUCUUUCCGUUCUUCGCAUCAUCAUUAUCUCUCUCCUGCUUUCCUAG
rnacentral:misc_RNA from 1 species